UACGUAGGGGGCAAGCGUUGUCCGGAAUCAUUGGGCGUAAAGCGCGUGUAGGCGGCUCGAUAAGUCUGCUGUGAAAGUCCAGGGCUCAACCCUGGGAUGCCGGUGGAUACUGUCGAGCUCGAGUCCGGAAGAGGAGUGUGGAAUUCCUGGUGUAGCGGUGAAAUGCGCAGAUAUCAGGAGGAACACCAAUGGCGAAGGCAGCUCGCUGGGACGGUACUGACGCUGAGACGCGAAAGCGUGGGGAGCGAUCCGG
rnacentral:rRNA from 1 species